AUGUCACAUGGCCAUGUAGCCCCAAUGAUCAUCUGCACAGGCAGGAGAGCUGGACCCAUGUAUUCACUCCACAAGCAUUUACUGAACACUGCUAAAUGCCAGGCUCCCAUCUAUUAUAUCAGAACAGACAAUGUCCGGCCCAAAGAGAACAAGUCCAUAACCAACAGGCAGGCAUUGGCAAAGCAGGACAGUACUGACCUCUCUGAGCAACUGUCAUUUCCCAGAGCCAAAGGGAAUGAGAGGCAUGGCCCGCAGCCAUCAGGGGAAGGGAAUGAGAGGCAUGUCCCACAGCCAUCAGGGGAAGGGAAUGAGAGGCAUGUCCCACAGCCAUCAGGGGAAGGAAUUAGGGGCACGUCCCACAACCAUCAGGGGAAGGAAAUGAGGGGCAUGUCCCACAGCCAUCGGGGGAAGGGAAUGAGGGACAUAUCCCACAGCCAUCGGGGGAAGGGAAUGAGGGACAUGUCCCGCAGCCAUCGGGGGAAGGGAAUGAGGGACAUGUCCUGCAGCCAUCUGGGGAAGGGAAUGAGGGACAUGUCCCGCAGCCAGCGGGGGAAGGGAAUGAGGGACAUGUCCCGCAGCCAUCAGGGGAAGGGAAUGAGGGACAUGUCCCGCAGCCAUCAGGGGAAGGGAAUGAGGGACAUGUCCCGCAGCCAUCGGGGGAAGGGAAUGAGGGACAUGUCCCGCAGCCAUCGGGGGAAGGGAAUGAGGGACAUGUCCCACAGCCAUCAGGGGAAGGAAAUGAAGGACAAGUCCCACAGCCACCAGGAGAAGAAAAUUAGAGGCACGUCCCGCAGCCAUCAGGAAAAGGAAAUGAGGGGCAUGUCCGCCAUCUGUCAGGGGAAGGGAAUGAGGGGCAUGUCCUGCAGCCAUCAGGGGAAGGGAAUGAAGGGUCCAUCCUGCAGCUCUCUGGAGAAGGAAAUUAAAUGCAAGUCCUGCAGCCACCUGGGAAGGAGAGUAGGAGUGAGUCCUAGGUCACCAAACAGUGGGCAUCUAGCUGGUCCAGCUCCCUUCCAGUCUUCCGAGCAAGCCACAGAAGCUGGUGUCCGACAGGCCUAUUGA
rnacentral:lncRNA from 1 species